UACGUAGGGUGCGAGCGUUGUCCGGAAUUACUGGGCGUAAAGAGCUCGUAGGUGGUUUGUCGCGUUGUCCGUGAAAACUCACAGCUCAACUGUGGGCGUGCGGGCGAUACGGGCAGACUGGAGUACUGUAGGGGAGACUGGAAUUCCUGGUGUAGCGGUGGAAUGCGCAGAUAUCAGGAGGAACACCGGUGGCGAAGGCGGGUCUCUGGGCAGUAACUGACGCUGAGGAGCGAAAGCGUGGGGAGCGAACAGG
rnacentral:rRNA from 1 species